rnacentral:lncRNA from 1 species
GGUGGUCUGUUUUUAAGGUUUUUUAGGGGGAAAAUGUCUAAUUUCCAGCUGAUAACUUGUACCAAUUUGCAUGUUUAAACAAGAGAUGUUGGAUUUUUUUUUAUUUAUUCAGAAAGUUCAUAGAAUUAUCUUUCCAUUGAUGUAUAGAUAUCUAUAUAACUAUGAAUAUCUGACUUCUGCAUGAUGGGUCCACUAUUACAUGCCCUGUUACAGAAUGACGUCACGUAAAAAACUGUUGAUUGCACCCUUAACAUU